rnacentral:rRNA from 1 species
GAUGAACGCUGGCGGCGUGCCUAAUACAUGCAAGUCGAGCGAACAGACGAGGAGCUUGCUCCUCUGACGUUAGCGGCGGACGGGUGAGUAACACGUGGAUAACCUACCUAUAAGACUGGGAUAACUUCGGGAAACCGGAGCUAAUACCGGAUAAUAUAUUGAACCGCAUGGUUCAAUAGUGAAAGACGGUUUUGCUGUCACUUAUAGAUGGAUCCGCGCCGCAUUAGCUAGUUGGUAAGGUAACGGCUUACCAAGGCAACGAUGCGUAGCCGACCUGAGAGGGGGGACGGCCAACCGUGGAGCGGAAACCGGGCCAAGACCCGUGGGGGAGGCAGAAGAAGGAAUUCUCCCGAAAGGGGGGAAGGCUGGCCGGAGCAACCCGCGGGGAGGAAGAAAGUUUUUGGAAUCAAAAAACUUUUUUAUAGGGAAAAAAAAAAGGGUAAAGAAACAAGGCACGUCUUGACGUAACCUAAUAAGAAGACCACGGCAAACAAGGGG